rnacentral:rRNA from 1 species
CCCAGUUCGGAUCGCAGCCUGCAACCCGGCUGCGUGAAGCUGGAAUCGCUAGUAAUCGCGGAUCAGAAUGCCGCGGUGAAUACGUUCCCGGGUCUUGUACACACCGCCCGUCACACCAUGGGAGCCGGAAACGCCCGAAGCCAGUGGCCUGACCGCGAGGAGGGAGCUGUCGAAGGCGGGUCCGGUGACCGGGGUGAAGUCGUAACAAGGUAUC